UUAAAAAUGAAGCCACUUUGCCUGUUCAACUACUGAAUGAUAAGGGCACGACCCAAAGCUUAAUGCUCACAGAG
rnacentral:snoRNA from 1 species